AUUGGUUAAUAUUCCAAUACCAACAUUAGUGUGCGAUGGAAGGACGCUUAGGGCUAAGGGGGCUAGCGGAUGGAAGUGCUAGUCUAAGGUCGUAGGAGGUUAUACAGGCAAAUCCGUAUAACAAUACUCCGAGAACUGAAAGGCUUUUUGAAGUCUUCGGAUGGAUAGAAGAACCCCUGAUGCCGUCGAGCCAAGAAAAGUUUCUAAGUUUAGCUAAUGUUGCCCGUACCGUAAACCGACACAGGUGGGUGGGAUGAGUAUUCUAAGGCGCGUGGAAGAACUCUCUUUAAGGAACUCUGCAAAAUAGCACCGUAUCUUCGGUAUAAGGUGUGGUUAGCUUUGUAUUAGGAUUUACUCCGAAAGCAAGGAAACUUACAACAAAGAGUCCCUCCCGACUGUUUACCAAAAACACAGCACUCUGCUAACUCGUAAGAGGAUGUAUAGGGUGUGACGCCUGCCCGGUGCUCGAAGGUUAAUUGAUGGGGUUAGCAUUAGCGAAGCUCUUGAUCGAAGCCCGAGUAAACGGCGGCCGUAACUAUAACGGUCCUAAGGUAGCGAAAUUCCUUGUCGGUUAAAUACCGACCUGCAUGAAUGGCGUAACGAGAUGGGAGCUGUCUCAAAGAGGGAUCCAGUGAAAUUGUAGUGGAGGUGAAAAUUCCUCCUACCCGCGGCAAGACGGAAAGACCCCGUGGACCUUUACUACAGCUUGACACUGCUACUUGGAUAAGAAUGUGCAGGAUAGGUGGGAGGCUUUGAGUAUAUGACGCCAGUUGUAUAUGAGCCAUUGUUGAGAUACCACUCUUUCUUAUUUGGGUAGCUAACCAGCUUGAGUUAUCCUCAAGUGGGACAAUGUCUGGUGGGUAGUUUGACUGGGGCGGUCGCCUCCCAAAUAAUAACGGAGGCUUACAAAGGUUGGCUCAGAACGGUUGGAAAUCGUUCGUAGAGUAUAAAGGUAUAAGCCAGCUUAACUGCAAGACAUACAAGUCAAGCAGAGACGAAAGUCGGUCUUAGUGAUCCGGUGGUUCUGUGUGGAAGGGCCAUCGCUCAAAGGAUAAAAGGUACCCCGGGGAUAACAGGCUGAUCUCCCCCAAGAGCUCACAUCGACGGGGAGGUUUGGCACCUCGAUGUCGGCUCAUCGCAUCCUGGGGCUGGAGCAGGUCCCAAGGGUAUGGCUGUUCGCCAUUUAAAGCGGUACGCGAGCUGGGUUCAGAACGUCGUGAGACAGUUCGGUCCCUAUCUGCCGUGGGCGUAAGAAGAUUGAAGAGAUUUGACCCUAGUACGAGAGGACCGGGUUGAACAAACCACUGGUGUAGCUGUUGUUCUGCCAAGAGCAUCGCAGCGUAGCUAAGUUUGGAAAGGAUAAACGCUGAAAGCAUCUAAGCGUGAAGCCAACUCUAAGAUGAAUCUUCUCUAAGCUCUCUAGAAGACUACUAGUUUGAUAGGCUGGGUGUGUAAUGGAUGAAAGUCCUUUAGCUGACCAGUACUAAUAGAGCGUUUGGCUUAUCUUU
rnacentral:rRNA from 1 species